rnacentral:rRNA from 1 species
AUUGAACGCUGGCGGCAGGCCUAACACAUGCAAGUCGAGCGAGCGGCGGACGGGUGUGUAUUGUCCGGGAAACUGCCUGAUGGAGGGGGAUAACUACUGGAAACGGUAGCUAAUACCGCAUACCAUUAGAUGUGCCCAUAUGGCAUUUGCUGGUAGGUGGGGUAACGGCUCACCUAGGCGACGAUCCCUAACUGGUCUGAGUGGAUGACCAGCCACACUGGAGCAGAAACACGGUCCAGACUCCUACGGGAGGCGGCAGUGGGGAAUAUUGCGCAAUGAGCGCGAGCCUGAUGCAGCCAUGCCGCGUGUGUAAAGAAGGCCUUCGGGUUGUAAAGCACUUUCAGCGAGGAGGCGUUACCCGCAGAAGAGGCACCGGCUAACUCCGUGCAGGCCGCCGCGGUAAUUC